rnacentral:lncRNA from 1 species
AUGGAUUUCUUUAUGAAUUUCAUGUUGGGUUUGUUUUGUGUAUGUUGAGAAUGAUCAAUUGAAUUCAAAUCCAUGUUGGGUGAUCAAUUUUAUGUGGAAUUGAUUUGUAUAGAUGUAUAUUCAUGUGAACCUAUGAAUAAACCCUAGGAUGAUGAAAUUAGAGAUGAAUCAUGAUGAUUAAUUGUUGUAUAAUGUUGUCUACAUGUGCUAUGCCUACCAUGUGUUUGAUUAAAUGCCUAGAUGAAGGAACAAUGCUCAACUAGUAUGAUAUCAUGAAAUCCCCA